GAUGAACGCUGGCGGCGUGCCUAAUACAUGCAAGUCGAGCGAACGGACGAGAAGCUUGCUUCUCUGAUGUUAGCGGCGGACGGGUGAGUAACACGUGGAUAACCUACCUAUAAGACUGGGAUAACUUCGGGAAACCGGAGCUAAUACCGGAUAAUAUUUUGAACCGCAUGGUUCAAAAGUGAAAGACGGUCUUGCUGUCACGUAUAGAUGGAUACGCGCUGCAUUGGCUAGUUGGUAAGGUAACGGCUUACCAAGGCAACGAUGCAUAGCCGACCUGAGAGGGUGAUCGGCCACACUGGAACUGAGACACGGUCCAUACUCCUACGGGAGGCAGCAGUAGGGUAUCUUCCGCAAUGGGCGAAAGCCUGACGGAGCAACGCCGCGUGAGUGAUGAAGGUCUUCGGAUCGUAAAACUCUGUUAUUAGGGAAGAACAUAUGUGUAAGUAACUGUGCACAUCUUGACGGUACCUAAUCAGAAAGCCACGGCUAACUACGUG
rnacentral:rRNA from 1 species